rnacentral:rRNA from 1 species
UACGGAGGGGGCUAGCGUUGUUCGGAUUUACUGGGCGUAAAGCGCGUGUAGGCGGCUUCGUAAGUUGGAUGUGAAAUCCCACGGCUCAACCGUGGACGUGCAUCCAAAACUACGUCGCUGGAGUCUCGGAGAGGAAGGUGGAAUGCUUGGUGUAGAGGUGAAAUUCGUAGAUAUCAAGCAGAACACCUGCGGCGAAGGCGGCCUUCUGGACGAUGACUGACGCUGAGACGCGAAAGCGUGGGGAGCAAACAGG